AACCACAUUAAUGUGAUAUGGGGAACGAUUGAAUGUAGCCAGUUAUUCUUUUCAACACCUCUGUCCAGGACUUUCUGUGCUCCUGUGACACCGGACCCUUUAAAUCUAAAGAGGACAGUGUCUGGAAAUACAUGAGAAGGAUUUGCAGUGCUGUCACCUUUAGACAAGAGUAGUCAGUGCUACAAACAAUACUGAACUCAAAAGCUGAAAAAUGACAGAGGUCUGUCACCCCGGAGCGGAGCAUCCGGACAGCUGCAUCUGGAGCAAAGGAACUCUGUGCUGUUUGAAGGUUUCUGCAGAAAAGCAUUGGAGCAAUGAGUCGCAUCCUCCAUCCACAGGUGUUGACCAUCUGGAUUACGCUAAUCUCCAGGGCAACAGCUGACCUGACCUGCGACGCUCUGCUCCUGCUCUCCACAAAUCUUACAGCUCGCACUUUGAUUUUGUGGAAUCAGACGUCUAGUCCCACCAAUUCUACAGGUUUGUUCUGUAACACUUCGAUUGAUGGCAUUGGGACAUGUUGGCCCAGGAGCAGUGCUGGAGAAGUGGUGUCCCGUCCCUGUCCAGAGACCUUCCUCGGAGUCCGUUACAACACAACCAAUAACGUGUACAGAGAAUGCGUUGUCAAUGGCACCGGGGCGAAGAAGGGAAACUACUCCCAAUGUCAGGAAAUCCUCAACGAGGAGAAGAAGAGCAAGCUGCAUUACCACAUUGCAGUCAUCAUAAACUACCUGGGACAUUGUAUCUCUCUGGGAGCCCUGCUGGUCGCCUUCAUCCUCUUCAUGAGACUCAGGAGUAUCCGGUGUCUGAGAAAUAUCAUCCACUGGAACCUGAUUACAGCAUUUAUCCUGCGAAAUGCCACCUGGUUCGUGGUGCAGCUCACUAUGAACCCAGAGGUGCAUGAGAGCAAUGUGAUCUGGUGCAGGCUGGUCACAGCAGCGUAUAAUUAUUUCCAUGUGACCAACUUCUUCUGGAUGUUUGGAGAGGGCUGCUAUCUGCACACAGCUAUAGUACUGACAUACUCCACCGACAAACUGAGGAAAUGGAUGUUCAUUUGUAUAGGCUGGUGUAUUCCAUUCCCCAUUAUCGUCGCUUGGGCCAUUGGCAAGCUGUACUAUGACAAUGAAAAGUGCUGGUUUGGGAAGCGGGCCGGCAUUUACACUGAUUAUAUUUAUCAGGGGCCCAUGAUCCUGGUCCUGCUGAUUAACUUCAUUUUUCUCUUCAACAUUGUGAGGAUCCUGAUGACUAAACUGAGGGGCUUUUUUGUGUCAGUGUUCUACUGCUUUUUGAACAGUGAGGUACGCUCAGCCGUUCGUAAGCGGUGGCACCGCUGGCAGGAUAAGCACUCCAUUCGGGCACGGGUGGCACGGGCCAUGUCUAUACCCACCUCUCCAACACGGGUCAGUUUCCACAGCAUCAAGCAGUCGUCGGCAGUCUGA
ensembl:lncRNA